rnacentral:rRNA from 1 species
GGGUUGUGAGGUUAAGCGACUAAGCGUACACGGUGGAUGCCCUGGCAGUCAGAGGCGAUGAAGGGCGUGCUAAUCUGCGAUAAGCGCCGGUAAGGUGAUAUGAACCGUUAUAACCGGCGAUACCCGAAUGGGGAAACCCAGUGUGAUUCGUCACACUAUCAUUAACUGAAUCCAUAGGUUAAUGAGGCGAACCGGGGGAACUGAAACAUCUAAGUACCCCGAGGAAAAGAAAUCAACCGAGAUUCCCCCAGUAGCGGCGAGCGAACGGGGAGGAGCCCAGAGCCUGAAUCAGCAUGUGUGUUAGUGGAAGCGUCUGGAAAGGCGCGCGAUACAGGGUGACAGCCCCGUACACAAAAGCGCAUGUGCUGUGAGCUCGAUGAGUAGGGCGGGACACGUGGUAUCCUGUCUGAAUAUGGGGGGACCAUCCUCCAAGGCUAAAUACUCCUGACUGACCGAUAGUGAACCAGUACCGUGAGGGAAAGGCGAAAAGAACCCCGGCGAGGGGAGUGAAAAAGAACCUGAAACCGUGUACGUACAAGCAGUGGGAGCACCCUUCGGGGUGUGACUGCGUACCUUUUGUAUAAUGGGUCAGCGACUUAUAUUCUGUAGCAAGGUUAACCGAAUAGGGGAGCCGGAGGGAAACCGAGUCUUAAUUGGGCGUUAAGUUGCAGGGUAUAGACCCGAAACCCGGUGAUCUAGCCAUGGGCAGGUUGAAGGUUGGGUAACACUAACUGGAGGACCGAACCGACUAAUGUUGAAAAAUUAGCGGAUGACCUGUGGCUGGGGGUGAAAGGCCAAUCAAACCGGGAGAUAGCUGGUUCUCCCCGAAAGCUAUUUAGGUAGCGCCUCGUGAAUUCAUCUCCGGGGGUAGAGCACUGUUUCGGCUAGGGGGCCAUCCCGGCUUACCAACCCGAUGCAAACUGCGAAUACCGGAGAAUGUUAUCACGGGAGACACACGGCGGGUGCUAACGUCCGUCGUGAAGAGGGAAACAACCCAGACCGCCAGCUAAGGUCCCAAAGUCAUGGUUAAGUGGGAAACGAUGUGGGAAGGCCCAGACAGCCAGGAUGUUGGCUUAGAAGCAGCCAUCAUUUAAAGAAAGCGUAAUAGCUCACUGGUCGAGUCGGCCUGCGCGGAAGAUGUAACGGGGCUAAACCAUGCACCGAAGCUGCGGCAGCGAACGUAUCACUUAAAGCGAUUCAGCGGGUUACGAUUGACGGAGCGAAGCGACGUCAAAGCGUAUACAAAGUCGAGUCGGUUUAAGGAUACGUUCGUUGGGUAGGGGAGCGUUCUGUAAGCCUGUGAAGGUGGCCUGUGAGGGUUGCUGGAGGUAUCAGAAGUGCGAAUGCUGACAUAAGUAACGAUAAAGCGGGUGAAAAGCCCGCUCGCCGGAAGACCAAGGGUUCCUGUCCAACGUUAAUCGGGGCAGGGUGAGUCGACCCCUAAGGCGAGGCCGAAAGGCGUAGUCGAUGGGAAACGGGUUAAUAUUCCCGUACUUGGUGUUACUGCGAAGGGGGGACGGAGAAGGCUAUGUUGGCCGGGCGACGGUUGUCCCGGUUUAAGCGUGUAGGUGUGUGUUCCAGGUAAAUCCGGUUCACUUUAACACUGAGGCGUGACGACGAGGCACUACGGUGCUGAAGCAACAAAUGCCCUGCUUCCAGGAAAAGCCUCUAAGCAUCAGGUAACAUCAAAUCGUACCCCAAACCGACACAGGUGGUCAGGUAGAGAAUACCAAGGCGCUUGAGAGAACUCGGGUGAAGGAACUAGGCAAAAUGGUGCCGUAACUUCGGGAGAAGGCACGCUGACACGUAGGUGAAGUGAUUUACUCAUGGAGCUGAAGUCAGUCGAAGAUACCAGCUGGCUGCAACUGUUUAUUAAAAACACAGCACUGUGCAAACACGAAAGUGGACGUAUACGGUGUGACGCCUGCCCGGUGCCGGAAGGUUAAUUGAUGGGGUCAGCGCAAGCGAAGCUCCUGAUCGAAGCCCCGGUAAACGGCGGCCGUAACUAUAACGGUCCUAAGGUAGCGAAAUUCCUUGUCGGGUAAGUUCCGACCUGCACGAAUGGCGUAAUGAUGGCCAGGCUGUCUCCACCCGAGACUCAGUGAAAUUGAACUCGCUGUGAAGAUGCAGUGUACCCGCGGCAAGACGGAAAGACCCCGUGAACCUUUACUAUAGCUUGACACUGAACAUUGAGCCUUGAUGUGUAGGAUAGGUGGGAGGCUUUGAAGUGUGGACGCCAGUCUGCAUGGAGCCGACCUUGAAAUACCACCCUUUAAUGUUUGAUGUUCUAACGUGGACCCGUGAUCCGGGUUGCGGACAGUGUCUGGUGGGUAGUUUGACUGGGGCGGUCUCCUCCUAAAGAGUAACGGAGGAGCACGAAGGUUGGCUAAUCCUGGUCGGACAUCAGGAGGUUAGUGCAAUGGCAUAAGCCAGCUUGACUGCGAGCGUGACGGCGCGAGCAGGUGCGAAAGCAGGUCAUAGUGAUCCGGUGGUUCUGAAUGGAAGGGCCAUCGCUCAACGGAUAAAAGGUACUCCGGGGAUAACAGGCUGAUACCGCCCAAGAGUUCAUAUCGACGGCGGUGUUUGGCACCUCGAUGUCGGCUCAUCACAUCCUGGGGCUGAAGUAGGUCCCAAGGGUAUGGCUGUUCGCCAUUUAAAGUGGUACGCGAGCUGGGUUUAGAACGUCGUGAGACAGUUCGGUCCCUAUCUGCCGUGGGCGCUGGAGAACUGAGGGGGGCUGCUCCUAGUACGAGAGGACCGGAGUGGACGCAUCACUGGUGUUCGGGUUGUCAUGCCAAUGGCACUGCCCGGUAGCUAAAUGCGGAAGAGAUAAGUGCUGAAAGCAUCUAAGCACGAAACUUGCCCCGAGAUGAGUUCUCCCUGAGACUUAGAGUCUCCUGAAGGAACGUUGAAGACGACGACGUUGAUAGGCCGGGUGUGUAAGCGCAGCGAUGCGUUGAGCUAACCGGUACUAAUGAACCGUGAGGCUUAACCUUACAACGCCGAAG